CCUACGGGGGGCUGCAGCAAGGAAUUUUCCGCAAUGGGCGAAAGCCUGACGGAGCAACGCCGCGUGUGGGAGGACGCCCUUCGGGGUGUAAACCACUUUUCUUGGGGACGACGAACGACGGUACCCGAGGAAGAAGGACCUGCUAACUACGUGCCAGCAGCCGCGGUAAUACGUAGGGUCCGAGCGUUGUCCGGAGUUACUGGGCGUAAAGCGCGCGCAGGCGGCUGAUCAAGUCUGGCGUGAAAGCCCCCGGCUCAACCGGGGAGGGUCGUCGGAGACUGGUGAGCUUGAGGGCGGUAGGGGCUGGUGGAAUUCCCGGUGUAGUGGUGAAAUGCGUAGAGAUCGGGAGGAACACCCGUGGCGAAGGCGGCCAGCUGGGCCGACCCUGACGCUGAGGCGCGAAGGCGUGGGGAGCGAACGGGAUUAGAUACCCGGGUAGUC
rnacentral:rRNA from 1 species